AGGUAGGGGUGGAAACGAGCCGAGCUCGAGCGAGCUUAUCUCGGCUCAAAUUCGGCUUGAAAUUAAUUUCGAGCCUAAAUUUAAGCUCAAGCUUGGAUUGAAAUUAAUUCGAGCCGAGCUCGAGCGAGCCUAAUUUCGAGUCGAGCGAGCUCGAGCCCUAAACGAGCCGCAUGAAAUUCUCAACAUCAUACGAUCAAUAGUUUAAUUUGUAUAGGACAUUAUCUAUAAUUUGAUAUAAAAAUAUGUCUAAUAGUUCAAAGUACAAAAUAAUUAUAUAAAAUAUAGUAUUAUAAUAUGAAAAAAAAUAAUUUAUGAGUUAAAUAUCUAAUCUUUUCAGCCUCACAUGUCUUUUCUUCCGCCUUCAAUCUCCAUAUUAUUCAUUUUUAUUUAUGCAGUAAAAAAUAAAUAAAUUAUAUAGAUAAAUAUUGGAUUAAACUAUCCAAUCAUAUAUAACUAAAAUUAAAAUUUUAUAUAAAUAAUAAUUUUUUACUUUAAAAAUAUUCUGUAUAUUUUCUCAAGUAUACAAUUAAUAGUAAGGUAGGCAACGGCGGGCAUAUGCUGUUACUUGGUAACUUGGAGGGCUUCCGGCUUGGCCACUUAGGGUGAGAGACAUAAAAAGAGAAAGAGAGAAACAUAUUGAAAAUUUAAGCUCUGUAAAAGAAAGAAAGAAAGGAAAAAUGUAUAAAUUUAGUAAAAUUUUGCUCUUUUAUUUGUCUAUUGGGUUUGUUUUUAUGGACCAACAAUAUUAGCCCAAUUUUAACUAAACUCAGAUUAUUCACUCAGCCUAUAUAUAAUUAAAAUAUAUUAUAUUUAUAUAUUUCUUAAUAUAUAUAUA
rnacentral:lncRNA from 1 species